AUUCCCUGAGCUAGAAAACAGGAGAAGGAGAAGCAAGAGAGGGAUCAACAGUGUUAGAUUCUCAGAGUCUCACCUGGAAGGCCACCCACUCAAGGGGAGGAUGUUGAUGAAGAGAUUGUAAUUCAGCUACAGGAAACAUCACACUCACUGGCUCUGAUCCUGCUGGAGACUUCAAUCACCCUGACAUCUACUGGAAGAGCAACACAGUAAGCUGUAAGCAGUCCAGGAGACUACUGGAGUAUGUAAAAGUCAAUUUCUUAAUCCAGUUAUGUGUGCAAGACACAUCAAGACUGAAAGACAAAACUUCCCUGUUUAUCUCAGUUGCUUCCUGGGUUUCAAAUCAUGAUGAGGAGAAAUUCUGCUUAUGGAGGAAGAAUUCUGCAUCUGAGAACCAGAUUUAGGUUAUUUACUGACCGAAGGCCCAGCGACGUGCACGUGUUGAUCCUCACACUGGUGAUUUUCCUCCUUAUGUAGCUUGAGCUCCUCAAAGUGAUUGAGACCUUCAGCUUCCACUUGGAGCCUGCAGGGAAUAAAAACGAUUUGGCAUUUUCUUGGAGUAAUGUAGAAUAAGGCCUUAUUUCAUGCUGGUCUAUUAAAAGGCCUUAUUUAUUUUUGCAGUCAGCUAUUCUCUCCUCAAACAACUGGAAAUGGUAUGUCUCCCUCAGGGUGGAAUUUUGUUCUGAUGAUAUAUUUUUCUGCAGCAGGUGGUCUUCUCAAAAUAUCACAUUAAAUUGAUAACCUUCAAGGAA